rnacentral:rRNA from 1 species
UUCAUGGAGAGUUUGAUCCUGGCUCAGGACGAACGCUGGCGGCGUGCCUAAUACAUGCAAGUCGAGCGAACCGACGGGAGCUUGCUCCCUUAGGUUAGCGGCGGACGGGUGAGUAACACGUGGGUAA